UGGGGAAUAUUGCACAAUGGGCGCAAGCCUGAUGCAGCCAUGCCGCGUGUGUGAAGAAGGCCUUCGGGUUGUAAAGCACUUUCAGCGAGGAGGAAGGUGGUGAGCUUAAUACGCUCAUCAAUUGACGUUACUCGCAGAAGAAGCACCGGCUAACUCCGUGCCAGCAGCCGCGGUAAUACGGAGGGUGCAAGCGUUAAUCGGAAUUACUGGGCGUAAAGCGCACGCAGGCGGUUUGUUAAGUCAGAUGUGAAAUCCCCGGGCUCAACCUGGGAACUGCAUUUGAAACUGGCAAGCUAGAGUCUCGUAGAGGGGGGUAGAAUUCCAGGUGUAGCGGUGAAAUGCGUAGAGAUCUGGAGGAAUGCCGGUGGCGAAGGCGGCCCCCUGGACGAAGACUGACGCUCAGGUGCGAAAAGCGUGGGGAGCAAAACAGGAUUAGAUACCCUGGUAGUCCACGCUGUAAAACGAUGUCGAUUUGGAGGUUGUGCCCUUGAGGCGUGGNUUCCGGAGCUAACGCGUUAAA
rnacentral:rRNA from 1 species